rnacentral:rRNA from 1 species
ACAACGGAGAGUUUGAUCCUGGCUCAGGAUGAACGCUGGCGGCGUGCUUAACACAUGCAAGUCGAACGAACCUUCGGGUUAGUGGCGGACGGGUGAGUAACGCGUGAGAAUCUGCCCUCAGGAGGGGGAUAACGGUUGGAAACGACCGCUAAUACCCCAUAUGCCGCGAGGUGAAAUGAAUUUCGCCUGAGGAUGAGCUCGCGUCUGAUUAGCUAGUUGGUGGGGUAAAGGCCUACCAAGGCAUCGAUCAGUAGCUGGUCUGAGAGGAUGAUCAGCCACACUGGGACUGAGACACGGCCCAGACUCCUACGGGAGGCAGCAGUGGGGAAUUUUCCGCAAUGGGCGAAAGCCUGACGGAGCAACGCCGCGUGAGGGAUGAAGGCCUCUGGGCUGUAAACCUCUUUUAUCAAGGAAGAAGAUCUGACGGUACUUGAUGAAUAAGCCACGGCUAAUUCCGUGCCAGCAGCCGCGGUAAUACGGGAGUGGCAAGCGUUAUCCGGAAUUAUUGGGCGUAAAGCGUCCGCAGGCGGCCCUUCAAGUCUGCUGUUAAAGAGUGGAGCUUAACUCCAUCAUGGCAGUGGAAACUGUUGGGCUUGAGUGUGGUAGGGGCAGAGGGAAUUCCCGGUGUAGCGGUGAAAUGCGUAGAUAUCGGGAAGAACACCAGUGGCGAAGGCGCUCUGCUGGGCCAUCACUGACGCUCAUGGACGAAAGCCAGGGGAGCGAAAGGGAUUAGAUACCCCUGUAGUCCUGGCCGUAAACGAUGAACACUAGGUGUCGGGGGAAUCGACCCCCUCGGUGUCGUAGCCAACGCGUUAAGUGUUCCGCCUGGGGAGUACGCACGCAAGUGUGAAACUCAAAGGAAUUGACGGGGGCCCGCACAAGCGGUGGAGUAUGUGGUUUAAUUCGAUGCACGCGAAGAACCUUACCAGGGUUUGACAUCCUGCGAAUCUCUUGGAAACGAGAGAGUGCCUUCGGGAACGCAGUGACAGGUGGUGCAUGGCUGUCGUCAGCUCGUGUCGUGAGAUGUUGGGUUAAGUCCCGCACGAGCGCAACCCACGUCUUUAGUUGCCAGCAUUUAGUUGGGCACUCUAGAGAGACCGCCGGUGAUAAACCGGAGGAAGGUGUGGAUGACGUCAAGUCAUCAUGCCCCUUACAUCCUGGGCUACACACGUACUACAAUGCUACGGACAAAGGGCAGCAAGUUCGCGAGGACAAGCAAAUCCCAUAAACCGUGGCUCAGUUCAGAUCGUAGGCUGCAACUCGCCUACGUGAAGGAGGAAUCGCUAGUAAUCGCAGGUCAGCAUACUGCGGUGAAUACGUUCCCGGGCCUUGUACACACCGCCCGUCACACCAUGGAAGUUGGCCACGCCCGAAGCCGUUACUCCAACCCUCGGGAGGAGGACGUCGAAGGUGGGGCUGAUGACUGGGGUGAAGUCGUAACAAGGUAUCCGUACCGGAAGGUGCGGAUGGAUCACCUCCUAA